rnacentral:lncRNA from 1 species
AGAGUAUCGGCGCUACUUCUCCAGGCUCUGCUACACUCUCCCAGCCAGGCAGCCGGAGACGCCGCGGUCAGGCUUUGCCACGAGUGACAGGCUCUCGCGCGACAGAACGACCCCUCAGGGUACCUGAGCCGAAAUGAAUCCCUCAUACACAGUUUUCUCCCGGUUCUGAGGAAGUAGCAGCGGGAAAUGGCGCAACAGGCUUGCUUCUGCUUCGUCCAUGGCGCACAGGAAUGGCCGCCGCACAUGCGCAGUCUGCAAAGGGACGGGGCGGAAACCCGCUUCGGCGGGAAAAACUAACUGGUGGGUACGCUGCCCUGACCUGGACAAUGAACUGGGCCAACUGGUCUGCUUAGUAGCAGGAGAAAGCAGGAGAAAGGAAGAUCACUCACAAGUCCACAGGCCUGACGGUUCAGGAUUAUUCUGACCUUGACUGUCAAAAAAUAAAACUAGCAAAAUCCUCUUGUUGAUUUCAUUGAAGACUGAUGCAACUCCAAAGCUGACUUUCCUACUUUGACAGGGCAUUUACAGUGUGCCCAUAGCAUACUGUUUUUACCCUGAACCUGCCCCAUCACCUCUCCUGUUCUUGCGUUUGCUCUGGACUAGAUCUCCUGUAUACUCCCAGUAUACCCUUCAACCAAAUGCAUAUGUAAAUAAAUUGUACAUUCAAU